rnacentral:pre_miRNA from 1 species
GGCACAAACUCGAAGGUAGAGUAGUUUAGUAGGGUCAGAUGAUCCUUCUUAUCUGCUCUACUUCGAAUUUAGGCUC